UAUUUAUUUAUUUAGAUUUAAAGCCUAUAUUUUUUACUUAGACGUGUUAUUUAGAAUUCAUUCCUCAGCCAUUAAACUCGUCUCCAUGGUAACGCCAUAAAUCCCAUAGAGCACAAUUUUACGUCGCGUGGAGCGUUCACGGUAAAAGGUUCGCGCGCCCCAGAGACGGUAAACUCCGAAAUCUACGUAAAGAGGAAGCGCUUUGGCUCUUUCCAAAAUGGCGGCCACCAUAGAGAACAAUAGCGCUGCAGCUGCGAAUAAGAAAAAACAUUUAGGAAUUCCUGAAGCAGUGUUUGUAGAGGAUGUGGAUUCGUUUAUGAAGAAGCCCGGCAACGACACGGCGGACGUCGUACUGAGGAAGCUUGAUGAACAGUACCAGAAAUAUAAA